rnacentral:rRNA from 1 species
AGUGAACGCUGGCGGUAGGCCUAACACAUGCAAGUCGAACGGCAGCACAGAGGAGCUUGCUCCUUGGGUGGCGAGUGGCGGACGGGUGAGGAAUACAUCGGAAUCUACUCUGUCGUGGGGGAGAACGUAGGGAAACUUACGCUAAUACCGCAUACGACCUACAGGUGAAAGCAGGGGACCUUCGGGCCUUGCGCGAUUGAAUGAGCCGAUGUCGGAUUAGCUAGUUGGCGGGGUAAAGGCCCACCAAGGCGACGAUCCGUAGCUGGUCUGAGAGGAUGAUCAGCCACACUGGAACUGAGACACGGUCCAGACUCCUACGGGAGGCAGCAGUGGGGAAUAUUGGACAAUGGGCGCAAGCCUGAUCCAGCCAUACCGCGUGGGUGAAGAAGGCCUUCGGGUUGUAAAGCCCUUUUGUUGGGAAAGAAAUCCAGCUGGCUAAUACCCGGUUGGGAUGACGGUACCCAAAGAAUAAGCACCGGUUAACUUCGUGCCAGCCGCCGCCGUAA